UACAGAGGUCUCGAGCGUUGUUCGGAUUCAUUGGGCGUAAAGGGUGCGUAGGUGGCGGGGUAAGUCGGAUGUGAAAUCCCGGGGCUCAACCUCGGAACUGCAUUCGAUACUGCUUUGCUUGAGUACUGGAGCGGAGAUUGGAAUUUACGGUGUAGCAGUGAAAUGCGUAGAUAUCGUAAGGAAGACCAGUGGCGAAGGCGGAUCUCUGGACAGUUACUGACACUGAGGCACGAAAGCCAGGGGAGCAAACGGG
rnacentral:rRNA from 1 species